CAGCACUACUUUUAUUCACACCGCAAUGUUUAUUUCGUGUUUACAUAGUACUGUAUAGUAAUCGUUUAUUUUUCUCAUAUAAACUUUUUCGCAUCAUUUAUUUAUUUACAGCCACCGCUGUAUUGACUUUGUAAGUAUCGACUUCCAAAUCUUCUGAAAUAUUUUAUUAAGUUUUAAAGUGGACAUAAGUUAACAUACUCAACUCGUUAACUUGGGCCUUUUUUCUAUCGAUUACAAUAUGUAAUAAUAAGAAAAAUCAUGACAAAAGAAACGCAACAAUCUAAUUUUAUUCCAUUAUGUUAUAUUCCAAAUAGGUUGUUUUAUUAUCUUACUUUUUUUUAAAAAGAAUAUUGUAUAAAGAUAUUACCUUGAUCAUUAUUUUACGAUAUCAUCGAUAAUUAUCAAAUUAUCGAGUUUUUACUAUACAGAUAUUGCAUUCCACCUACACAAUACACAAGUUUUCCAUGGAUCAUGGAGUCCAUUCAACAUUUGUGUGAUAGAGUUCUGCUUAAGCCGGUGCUAGGGGGCAUGAGAGAUGUUGCACAUUUCAUUGUCUUUCAUGAACAACUCAAUCAAACCGAGUCCGUUAUUAUUAUUCGUUGAAUUCUUUGCUUCCAAAGGAAUUUUUUACAGAUUUUAUUUCCAACACUCAUUUUUGCUGAUGCACACACACAAAUAUACUUAUAAUGUAAUUUAAGUUUAAUUUUGAAUAUAGUUAGUUUUUAUGUAUAAGGUAAAAAGGCACAUAAAAAUCAAUCUGUGUAUGGUGGAAUGGUGAAACAAGCAUGGCCGUUACAUUUCCAUAUUUGGUGAUAAAACGCGUCCUAUAUAACUGUUUAAAUGGGUUAUCACAUAAAUUAUCUAUAUUAUGUACAUAGAUUAAUAUCUUCAUAAAGGUAAAGUCUAUUUUAAGUUUCAUUUUUGGGUAAGUAAGCGGCUAACUACUGGUGCUUCUAGAAAUGGAAUUCAGCAUCAUUAAAGGACCUAAGCUGGUAGUGGCUUUAGAUAUUAGCAGUACCUACUCAGGGUAUGCAUGGCAAGAGAGAGCGGAAUUUGAAACUAAAAGAAGUGAGAUUCAUUUGAAUACCAUUUGGGGAGGAGGAUCUUUGCAGCUUCAUAAAACUACAACAUGUAUCCUCCUGGAAUGUCAAAAGGAGGAGGAAGCCAACGAUCAAGCAAAAGAAAAGUGAAAUAUCAUAAAAGAAAACACAAAAAUUGGACACGAAGCUGAAAGAGUUUACACAGGAAUAGUAAGACAGAAACAACAUACACACGAGCUUACUGGAAAGAACUAUUUCUUUAAACGGUUCAAGCUAUUGAUGUACAAUGAGGUACAUGUACCACAGAUAUUUAUAGUAUCAGUUAAUGUAACCCUAAGAAUAAAUUUGAUGAUGUACUGCAACAGUGGUACGUGUCCAAAUUUACAACUGUAUGUUCAGUAAUUAAAACUCAUAGAUUCUAGUAAUUGUAAAUAAAAAGUAACAAAAUAAUCCAGUGAGUAUUUAGGAGCUCUCUUUUGCGUAUAUCAAGCGGACAAAUGCUGAUGUAAAAUAUAAGGAGUUAUACUAGUCUUUCUUUGAUACUAAGUCAUAUUUGCUUUUUAUUUUACAACAAUGAUUUUGUAAUAUCGACUGAAGUCACAGCCUAAUCCAAUGACACGUUUUCUUUUAUUGCACAUGUUUUUUUUUCUGACAACACUUCCGAAGAUACUGUUUAUGCUUAUCGUUAUACGUGUUCGGGAAUAGAUGUGCAAAUGCGUAGAAUUAUGCUUGCGCGUGUAUGUUAACACUUAUGUGAAUUUAAAGAUGAAGGUGAGUAAAAUAGUGUUUUGACAUAAACAGAUUUAUAUUACAGCGAUUCCACCGAGAACAGCUCGUAGAAGAUCAGAUAGGACAACAAGUGCCCCUAUUUGACGUUAUGUCGUUGUUUAUCAGAGCUUUGAAAGAUCACUGUUUACAGAAACUGAAGAGAAAAGAUUUAACGGUGGAGCUUAAGAAGACCCUUUUUGUAGUCACCGUUCCAGCAAUAUGGUCAGAAAAAGCAAAGAAGAUUAUGAGAGAUGCAGCGGUAGAUGUAAUUAAGAGUUUCUUAUCUGUCAGUUAUAUUUUAGUGUAGAUUAUGUUAUAGUCAAGUAAAAAUGAUCAUUUUGUUCUUCAAUGAAAUGGUCAGUUUCAUAAUUUUGUAUAAUUUUAGGCUGGGAUAGGUAAAAGCAAUGUGUUAUUGGCACUAGAAUCUGAAGCUGCAGCCAUAUAUUGUUUACAUAUCCCCGAAGAACAGAGAAAAGAAAUGAAUGACCUCGGGAUGAAAGGAAAUAAAUUUCUAGUAGUAGACUUAGGCGGUAUGUUCUAGAUUUAUUCCUUAUUAAUAAGAAGAAAAGCAUUAAAAUGCUGAGAUCUUUACAAAGUUGUAAUUGGAA